UCCACGCCGUAAACGAUGGAUACUAGCUGUUGGAGAGCAAUCUUCAGUGGCUAAGCGAAAGUGAUAAGUAUCCCACCUGGGGAGUACGUUCGCAAGAAUGAAACUCAAAGGAAUUGACGGGGGCCCGCACAAGCGGUGGAGCAUGUGGUUUAAUUCGAUGAUACGCGAGGAACCUUACCAGGGCUUAAAUGUAGAUUGACAGGGGUAGAAAUACCUUUUCCUUCGGGCAAUUU
rnacentral:rRNA from 1 species